GAUGAACGCUAGCGGGAGGCCUAACACAUGCAAGCCGAGCGGUAUUUCUUCUUCGGGAGAGAGAGAGCGGCGUACGGGUGCGGAACACGUGUGCAACCUGCCUUUAUCUAGAGGAUAGCCUUUCGAAAGGAAGAUUAAUACUCUAUAAUAUAUUAAUUGGCAUCAAUUGAUAUUGAAAACUCCGGUGGAUAGAGAUGGGCACGCGCAAGAUUAGCUAGUUGGUGAGGUAACGGCUCACCAAGGCAAUGAUCUUUAGGGGGCCUGAGAGGGUGAUCCCCCACACUGGUACUGAGACACGGACCAGACUCCUACGGGAGGCAGCAGUGAGGAAUAUUGGUCAAUGGGUGCAAGCCUGAACCAGCCAUCCCGCGUGAAGGAUUAAGGUCCUAUGGAUUGUAAACUUCUUUUGUAUAGGGAUAAACCUACCCUCGUGAGGGUAGCUGAAGGUACUAUACGAAUAAGCACCGGCUAACUCCGUGCCAGCCGCCGCAGUAACAC
rnacentral:rRNA from 1 species